GAGUUUUGAUCAUGGCUCAGGAUGAACGCUAGCUACAGGCUUAACACAUGCAAGUCGAGGGGGAAACGAUAUUGGAAAGCUUGCUUUCCGAUAGGGCGUCGACCGGCGCACGGGUGAGUAACGCGUAUCCAACCUGCCCACCACUUGGGGGAUAACCUUGCGAAAGUAAGACUAAUACCCCAAUGAUAUCUCUAGAAGACAUCUGAAAGAGAUUAAAGAUUUAUCGGUGAUGGAUGGGGAUGCGUCUGAUUAGCUUGUUGGCGGGGUAACGGCCCACCAAGGCGACGAUCAGUAGGGGUUCUGAGAGGAACGGUCCCCCACAUUGGAACUGAGACACGGUCCAAACUCCUACGGGAGGCAACA
rnacentral:rRNA from 1 species